rnacentral:rRNA from 1 species
UACAAAGGGUGCAAGCGUUACUCGGAAUUACUGGGCGUAAAGCGUGCGUAGGUGGUUCGUUAAGUCUGUCGUGAAAGCCCCGGGCUCAACCUGGGAAUGGCGAUGGAUACUGGCGGGCUAGAGUGCGGUAGAGGAGAGUGGAAUUCCCGGUGUAGCAGUGAAAUGCGUAGAGAUCGGGAGGAACAUCAGUUGCGAAGGCGACUCUCUGGACCAGCACUGACACUGAGGCACGAAAGCGUGGGGAGCAAACAGG